rnacentral:tRNA from 1 species
ACUCAUGUAGCUUAAUUAAAGCUUAAUAUUGAAGCUAUUAAGAUAAGAUAAUUCUUCUUGAGUA